GAUGAACGCUGACAGAAUGCUUAACACAUGCAAGUCUACUUGAAUUUGGGUUUUUUAACUUAGAUUUGGGUGGCGGACGGGUGAGUAACGCGUAAAGAACUUGCCUCGCAGCUAGGGACAACAUUUGGAAACGAAUGCUAAUACCUGAUAUUAUGAUUAUAAGGCAUCUUAGAAUUAUGAAAGCUAUAUGCGCUGUGAGAGAGCUUUGCGUCCCAUUAGCUAGUUGGAGAGGUAACGGCUCACCAAGGCGAUGAUGGGUAGCCGGCCUGAGAGGGUGAACGGCCACAAGGGGACUGAGACACGGCCCUUACUCCUACGGGAGGCAGCAGUGGGGAAUAUUGGACAAUGGACCAAGAGUCUGAUCCAGCAAUUCUGUGUGCACGAUGACGUUUUUCGGAAUGUAAAGUGCUUUCAGUUGGGAAGAAAAAAAUGACGGUACCAACAGAAGAAGUGACGGCUAAAUACGUG
rnacentral:rRNA from 1 species